UACGUAGGGGCCUAGCGUUGUCCGGAUUUAUUGGGCGUAAAGAGCUCGUAGGCGGUUUGGUGAGUCGGGUGUGAAAUCUCCACGCUCAACGUGGAGGAGCCACCCGAUACUGCCAUGACUAGAGUCCGGUAGGGGAGUGUGGAAUUCCCGGUGUAGCGGUGAAAUGCGCGGAUAUCAAGCGGAACACCGGUGGCGAAGGCGGCCUUCUGGACAGUGACUGACGCUGAGACGCGAAAGCGUGGGGAGCAAACAGG
rnacentral:rRNA from 1 species